UACGGCUCAGUAACACGUAGUCAAUCUGCCCUAUGGACGUGGAUAACCUCGGGAAACUGAGAAUAAUCCGCGAUAGAUCAUGAUGCCUGGAACGGUUUAUGGUCCAAAUGAUUCGUCGCCAUAGGAUGGGACUGCGGCCUAUCAGCUUGUUGGUGAGGUAAUGGCCCACCAAGGCUAUUACAGGUACGGGCUCUGAGAGGAGAAGCCCGGAGAUGGGUACUGAGACACGGACCCAGGCCCUAUGGGGCGCAGCAGGCGAGAAACCUUUGCAAUGUGCGCAAGCACGACAAGGUUAAUCCGAGUGUUUCCUGCUAAAGGAAUCUUUUGUUAGUUCUAAAACCACUGAUGAAUAAGGGGUGGGCAAGUUCUGGUGUCAGCCGCCGCGGUAAAACCAGCACCUCAAGUGGUCAGGAGGAUUAUUGGGCCUAAAGCAUCCGUAGCCGGUUCUGUAAGUUUCCGGUUAAAUCCACUAGCUCAACUAAUGGGCUGCCGGAAAUACUGCANAACUAGGGAGUGGGAGAGGUAGACGGUACUCGGGAGGAAGGGGUAAAAUCCUUUGAUCUCUUGAUGACCACCUGUGGCGAAGGCGGUCUACCAGAACACGUUCGACGGUGAGGGAUGAAAGCUGGGGGAGCAAACCGGAUUAGAUACCCGGGUAGUCCCAGCUGUAAACGAUGCAGACUCGGUGAUGCACUGGCUUUUGGCCAGUGCAGUGCCGCAGGGAAGCCGUUAAGUUUGCCGCCUGGGAAGUACGUACGCAAGUAUGAAACUUAAAGGAAUUGGCGGGGGAGCACCACAAGGGGUGAAGCCUGCGGUUCAAUUGGAGUCAACGCCGGAAAGGGCGAAUUCGUUUAACCUGCAGGACUAGUCCU
rnacentral:rRNA from 1 species